CAGUCGCCACGGUAAUACGGAGGGAGCUAGCGUUGUUCGGAAUUACUGGGCGUAAAGCGCGCGUAGGCGGUUACUCAAGUCAGAGGUGAAAGCCCGGGGCUCAACCCCGGAACUGCCUUUGAAACUAGGUAACUAGAAUCUUGGAGAGGUCAGUGGAAUUCCGAGUGUAGAGGUGAAAUUCGUAGAUAUUCGGAAGAACACCAGUGGCGAAGGCGACUGACUGGACAAGUAUUGACGCUGAGGUGCGAAAGCGUGGGGAGCAAACAGGAUUAGAGACCCCCGUAGUCCCUGUCUCUUAUAC
rnacentral:rRNA from 1 species